GAGUUAUCUGAACCUUCGGGGAACGAUAACGGCGUCGAGCGGCGGACGGGUGAGUAAUGCCCAGGAAAUUGCCCUGAUGUGGGGGAUAACCAUUGGAAACGAUGGCUAAUACCGCAUGAUGCCUACGGGCCAAAGAGGGGGACCUUCGGGCCUCUCGCGUCAGGAUAUGCCUAGGUGGGAUUAGCUAGUUGGUGAGGUAAGGGCUCACCAAGGCGACGAUCCCUAGCUGGUCUGAGAGGAUGAUCAGCCACACUGGAACUGAGACACGGUCCAGACUCCUACGGGAGGCAGCAGUGGGGAAUAUUGCACAAUGGGCGCAAGCCUGAUGCAGCCAUGCCGCGUGUAUGAAGAAGGCCUUCGGGUUGUAAAGUACUUUCAGUCGUGAGGAAGGCGGCGUCGUUAAUAGCGGCGUUGUUUGACGUUAGCGACAGAAGAAGCACCGGCUAACUCCGUGCCAGCAGCCGCGGUAAUACGGAGGGUGCGAGCGUUAAUCGGAAUUACUGGGCGUAAAGCGCAUGCAGGUGGUUUGUUAAGUCAGAUGUGAAAGCCCGGGGCUCAACCUCGGAAUUGCAUUUGAAACUGGCAGACUAGAGUACUGUAGA
rnacentral:rRNA from 1 species